rnacentral:ribozyme from 1 species
AAAGCGAAACAAACAAACAAAAAACAACAAUUACAUAUAUACCUCCCUGCUCUUCUCGUGUUAUUCUUUCUCGUUGUUUAAUUUCCUCUUCCUUUCAUUAGCUUUACACAACCGGGGAAACAAAU